UACGGAGGGUGCGAGCGUUAUCCGGAUUUAUUGGGUUUAAAGGGUGCGUAGGCGGAUUAGUAAGUCAGUGGUGAAAGCCCGUCGCUUAACGGCGGAACUGCCAUUGAUACUGCUAGUCUUGAGUAUGGUUGAGGUGGGCGGAAUGUGUCAUGUAGCGGUGAAAUGCUUAGAUAUGACCCAGAACACCAAUUGCGAAGGCAGCUCGCUAAGCCAUAACUGACGCUGAGGCACGAAAGCGUGGGGAGCAAACAGG
rnacentral:rRNA from 1 species